GCGCGCUUAGCUCAGUGGUAGAGCACAUCCUUCACACGGAUGGGGUCGCAGGUUCAAUCCCUGCAGCGCGCACCA
rnacentral:tRNA from 2 species